rnacentral:rRNA from 1 species
CCUACGGGAGGCAGCAGUGAGGAAUAUUGCACAAUGGGGGAAACCCUGAUGCAGCGACGCCGCGUGAGUGAAGAAGUAUUUCGGUACGUAAAGCCCUAUCAGCAGGGAAGAAAAUGACGGUACCUGACCAAGAAGCCCCGGCUAACUACGUGCCAGCCGCCGCGGUAAUACGUAGGGGGCAAGCGUUAUCCGGAUUUACUGGGUGUAAAGGGAGCGUAGACGGCAGUGCAAGUCUGGAGUGAAAUCCCAUGGCCUAACCAUGGGACUGCUUUGGAAACUGUGCAGCUGGAGUGCAGGAGAGGUAAGCGGAAUUCCUAGUGUAGCGGUGAAAUGCGUAGAUAUUAGGAGGAACACCAGUGGCGAAGGCGGCUUACUGGACUGUAACUGACGUUGAGGCUCGAAGGCGUGGGGAGCAAACAGGAUUAGAUACCCGGGUAGUC